CCUCCAUACCACCAUGCUUACGCAUAACUGAUCCAAGAGCUCUCACGGGCACGUCCACCCUCGACCACGACCACGGACCCUAGGCCGCCGGUGUGUGGAGGAAAAGAGAACAAGGAAAGAACGAGGACAACAACAACACACUCAGCUUCCGCAAAGGUUGGGGCAGCCUCACCUGCAGGGCUGGACAGCAGCAUGAGUGGCCAGGACAAGCAGGAGCAGACUGCUGCAGGGGGCAGGAGGGUCAGUGGUCACCAGCUGAAGCAACUGGCUGCUGGCAACUCCAGCAACAAAGGAGAGAGGAAGUUUGUGUGUCUGGAGUGUGGAAAAGAAUUAACCACAAGGCAAGGCCUCAGAUAUCACACCCUUACACACACUGGUGUGAAGAACUAUGAAUGUAAGGAAUGUGGGAAACAAUUCAUCCAGAAGAGUACCCUUGAUACACACACCCUUACACACACUGGUGUGAAGAACUAUGAAUGUAAGGAAUGUGGGAAAAAAUUCAUCCAGAAGGGUAACAUUGAUAGACACACCCUUACACACACUGGUGUGAAGAACUAUGAAUGUAAGGAAUGUGGGAAACUAUUCACCCUGAAGGGUAACCUUGAUAGACACACCCUUACACACACUGGUGUGAAGAACUAUGAAUGUAAGGAAUGUGGGAAAAAAUUCAUCCUGAAGAGUCACCUUGAUACACACACCCUUACACACACUGGUGUAAAAAAUCAUGAGUGUGAAGAGUGCGGGAAGAGGUUCAGUGUGAAGCAGGCACUCAAUCGACAUGUCUUCAGGCACUAUGGCCUUAGAGAGUUCAAGUGUGAUGUUUGUGGAAAGCUCUUUAAGACAAGGCAUGACAUUGCCAGGCACAUGAAGAUCCACUUCUGAAGUGUGUCUGCCUACAGUAGUUAUAGUGACCAAGAAGGACAAGCAGGACCCGGACGGUGACAUCAUUAUGAGGCUUGAGUACGGUCUCCUGAACUCCUCGUCCCUGGAGCUGAUUGGUUUUGUUCCCAGCUGUCCCAUGAAGGUCUCAGGCAGCAGCCAUCCCUCAUGAUGAUGCAGCUCCCCUCAGCCUACCGGGCGGCCGCUGGUGCUGGGAACACACCCACGCCUCCCACAACCCAGCUGCAAGGGGAACUUGCUGAGAGUGCAACGAUGGCAGCCUAUAGACACCUUCACAGAGCGACUCACUGGGAGAGAGGAGAGAGGUGGCCGCCAGGAGGCAGACCUGUAUAUUGAAGACCCGUGGGGAUCCCUUUGUACUCCGGAGAGGCGUUCAUGCAUCACAGCCCCAGAAAUGAACACAGCUUUUAUUGUAGAAUAUAAUUAAAAUCUUAUGUUGUAUAGAAUUCAGGAAAAUUAUGUAAACAUUAACUUAUAUCAAUGGAAAUAUUAUAAAUACCACUAAAUGCUAAUACAAAUUAUGUUAAUAAUAACCUGAACACCAGUUUGAUGGAAAAGCAGAGGUUAGCAUCCCUGACUACAAAUCUGCAGGCCUUGGUCCAAAUCCCGGCCCAGGCAGUCAGCAUGCAACCCACCCAGCUGUUCAUCCUUUCUUUCAGGAUGGUCGGUAAACGGGUACCUGGGGAGACUUGGGACAGGUAAACAGUGGGUAACACGGAUGUUGCAUGGGACCUGUGUUGGGUUAAUUAAUGGGUUCUCUUCUAGUUGUAUAAAAACAAAUAUAUUAUUCUUUCUGAUGCA